GGGGGCGAUACGGCUUCGACGGAGGUAAAGGACCGCGGGAUGCAUGCCGAGCACCACUGACUCGCUAAUCCGGUGGAAACAAACAUAACUGCGGACACGCAGCUCGCUCUCGCUGCCUAAAUAGCAGCGACGCUCACCUCUUCCAGCCUGCGGGUUGGGGCUGAGCGUCAUUCAGCAGGCUGGUCGCCACGGGCUGUCUCGGACCGUGGCGGCGAGACUUUUCGGGGCUGGCGCCCAUCGCUUUCCGUCGCUCUUUGACGCUGGGCGCGAGACAACAAGAGCGGCUACGCAUGUAGAUUCCUACGGCGACGUACUUUCGGACGCGGGUUCGACUCCCGCCGCCUCCACCA
rnacentral:tmRNA from 1 species